ensembl:lncRNA
UUGCCAUGGGAACCAGUGCCAGGCUGCCACGAGCGCCUGGCAAGAGGGAAGAGAGAGACUGUGCCUGAAUGUUCCAGGGGGGUUGUUUCUACUCCAGAGCCUCUGAAGGAUUGAUCUUCGAAGACCUGAGCACAAGAGAAGAGGAACACAGAGGUCUCGGAGGAUCACAUCAGCACAGCAAUCCUUUUGCCAAGGCGUAACUGUGUGGGUUUUAUCCGAAUCAAGAGAGACCUGUGGCCAGAACAUUACAAUGCAUUCAUUGCUGAGGCAGGCUGAAUGGACAAGGAGUUACUCAGUACUGGAAAAAAAUCGAAUUUUACCUGCAUGACUACAAUAGCUCUCUGAGUACUUUUUAAUGAUGUCCUUUUCUGUCC